CAUAGCUUCGUAGGUGACCUGCGGAAGGAUCAUUACCUAGAGUUUGUAGACUUCGGUCUGCUACCUCUUACCCAUGUCUUUUGAGUACCUUCGUUUCCUCGGCGGGUCCGCCCGCCGAUUGGACAACAUUCAAACCCUUUGCAGUUGCAAUCAGCGUCUGAAAAAACAUAAUAGUUACAACUUUCAACAACGGAUCUCUUGGUUCUGGCAUCGAUGAAGAACGCAGCGAAAUGCGAUAAGUAGUGUGAAUUGCAGAAUUCAGUGAAUCAUCGAAUCUUUGAACGCACAUUGCGCCCCUUGGUAUUCCAUGGGGCAUGCCUGUUCGAGCGUCAUUUGUACCUUCAAGCUCUGCUUGGUGUUGGGUGUUUGUCUCGCCUCUGCGUGUAGACUCGCCUUAAAACAAUUGGCAGCCGGCGUAUUGAUUUCGGAGCGCAGUACAUCUCGCGCUUUGCACUCAUAACGACGACGUCCAAAAGUACAUUUUUACACUCUUGACCUCGGAUCAGGUAGGGAUACCCGCUGAACUUAAGCAUAUCAAAAGGCGGGAGGAA
rnacentral:rRNA from 1 species